rnacentral:rRNA from 1 species
AAAAUACGGGAGGCAGCAGUAGGGAAUCUUCCGCAAUGGACGCAAGUCUGACGGAGCAACGCCGCGUGAGUGAAGAAGGUCUUCGGAUCGUAAAGCUCUGUUGUUAGAGAAGAACAGCGCAUAGAGUAACUGUUAUGCGUGUGACGGUAUCUAACCAGAAAGCCACGGCUAACUACGUGCCAGCAGCCGCGGUAAUUUU